GUGAAUUGCGCCGACCCAUUGUAGCGACGCCGCUGAAGCAGCGCGUCAUAGACAAAGCGUUGCGUAGACCGGUGACAAACGUCACGAGUGACAUUCGCGACGUGUGUCUGGGGAUGAUUCAGCGAAGAUGGAUGUAAACAAAAGGAAAAUAAUUUUGUUCCCGCACGAAACCGCGAUGUGUGCGACAUUGCGGUGCAGUUUGCUUUUAUUUAUUUAUAAUUUUGUGUUGUUAAAAUGUAAAUUGAAAAGCAGAUCCCAAACUAUCGCUAUCGUGGAGGUUUGGAACCAGCUGCUAAAGGGCAGUGACUAGUAAGAGAGCAGAGCGGGCAAGUGUGACCUGGGCCUGGCGGAAGAAGACCAAUCUUUUAGCUCGACAUGCACCUACAGAGAGACAGGGUGCCAGCUCAAAAGACUUCUUUUACUCGUCGCAACAUUCUAAAAGAUUGCGGUCGCCAUGAACCAGGAGGAAGUCGGUUCACACUGCCAGCUAUGCCUCUGGCCGGAUUCGGCGUGGAUGGUAAGCGGUGGUCACCAAGAACGAGAGGGCAUCGUCGGUAUCAACGCUGCUCUGGAUCAUUCUUUCAUCCGACGACAAAGCCAAAAACCGUCCCAGAGGUUUCACCAGAGGAAGAAGCAGUCGUCGAAGGUCGCCAGCACAAGCGGGACAUCGUCCACCUCCGGCGGAGGGCUCGUUCGAGACUGGGGAAUCCUGAGGCCCGUAGGUUCCGAGUGGAGCAACCAUCGGAGCGGGUACGUUGGGAACCACAGAUCCGGCAAGGGCAGGAGCUGUCACAGCGCGAUGCUGAGCGGGCCAAAGUCAAGACGGAGCUUGCUAUUCGGGUGUUAACUUUCCGUAUACGGGAUCAAGAGUUGGAGGACAAGUUGGCUAGGGAAGGAAGACGAUCUGCACCCGAUCUCUGUUUGUCGAAGUUGGCAAAGUGUCAGUCGGACACACCGGGACAAGUCAUCAUUCUCGGCAGAUUUACCGGGAAGAAGGUCGAAAGGUCUGUCAGGUUCGCCGGGACUAAAGUCGAUGGAUCCGUCAGGUGCGCCGGGAUUAGUGACAACUCGUCCGUCAGGUCCGUCGGGACAAAAGCCACAGAACGAUGACACAGAGGAUCACGAAGUGACCGUCGGUGGCACCAGCGCCAACUUCCACAAGAAUCGAACGGAUAAGAUAUCACCAUUAGGACGACCGGCAAGCAAGCAGCGUAUGCACCAGGAUCGGGAGAGAAGCGGUAAGGAGACGGGUUCUCGUAAAGCGUCUUCAAUCUCGUCAUCCAAGUUGGCGUGUAACGCUGGGAAAGAAGCUGGAGACUGAACCAGGACACCCUCACACGGGUCGGGGACGUAACCGUGUUCGAGUUCACCGUCAAGAUGCUGCUUUGUUUUGCAAUGGGUUCUAGAUUGAGUAUGCAAUCAAAAGAUUUCGGCGCGACCGUACGUUCUGGUAGUGAGGAAAUUCUGGGAAUACCACACCUUCCUCACGGGUCGGGGAAAUGUUACGGUGAAUUGCGCCGACCCAUUGUAGCGACGCCGCUGAAGCAGCGCGUCAUAGACAAAGCGUUGCGUAGACCGGUGACAAACGUCACGAGUGACAUUCGCGACGUGUGUCUGGGGAUGAUUCAGCGAAGAUGGAUGUAAACAAAAGGAAAAUAAUUUUGUUCCCGCACGAAACCGCGAUGUGUGCGACAUUGCGGUGCAGUUUGCUUUUAUUUAUUUAUAAUUUUGUGUUGUUAAAAUGUAAAUUGAAAAGCAGAUCCCAAACUAUCGCUAUCGUGGAGGUUUGGAACCAGCUGCUAAAGGGCAGUGACUAGUAAGAGAGCAGAGCGGGCAAGUGUGACCUGGGCCUGGCGGAAGAAGACCAAUGUAAGCUUAAUUAUACUGACUUGUAAACAUUUUUUAAUCAAAUAAAUAUAGCUUUUAGCUCGACAUGCACCUACAGAGAGACAGGGUGCCAGCUCAAAAGACUUCUUUUACUCG